AGCUAGAUAGUAUAGUAGUUACGUUAAUAGAAAGUCCCUAUAGUAGAUACGUUAGAUAAACUUACCGUAUCUACUUUAUAGAGAUCGGUAAGUUUAUCCGAUAUCUCUCUAUAAGCUAUAGAGCCUUUCUAUCGCGUACGUAGGUUCGAAUCCUACUCUAGCUA
rnacentral:tRNA from 1 species